GACGAACGCUGGCGGCGUGCUUAACACAUGCGAGUCGAACGAAGAGCGAUGGAAGCUUGCUUCUAUCAAUCUUAGUGGCGAACGGGUGAGUAACGCGUAAUCAACCUGCCCUUCAGAGGGGGACAACAGUUGGAAACGACUGCUAAUACCGCAUACGAUCCAAUCUCGGCAUCGGGACUGGAUGAAAGGUGGCCUCUAUUUAUAAGCUAUCACUGAAGGAGGGGAUUGCGUCUGAUUAGCUAGUUGGAGGGGUAACGGCCCACCAAGGCGAUGAUCAGUAGCCGGUCUGAGAGGAUGAACGGCCACAUUGGGACUGAGACACGGCCCAGACUCCUACGGGAGGCAGCAGUGGGGAAUCUUCCGCAAUGGACGAAAGUCUGACGGAGCAACGCCGCGUGAGUGAUGACGGCCUUCGGGUUGUAAAGCUCUGUUAAUCGGGACGAAUGGUUCUUGUGCGAAUAGUGCGAGGAUUUGACGGUACCGGAAUAGAAAGCCACGGCUAACUACGUG
rnacentral:rRNA from 1 species